AUUUUAUUCUCUUAACACUUCCAGUGGUCGGCAGACUGAAAUGAGUCUUGGGGUUACAAUCAAGGUGUUGGCAGGCCUGUAUUCCUUCUGGAGGCUCCAGUGGACAGCUGGUUCCUUGCCUUUUCUGGCUUCUAAAACUGCCUGAAUUUCUUGGCUUGUGACCCCUUAUCCAUCUUUAAAGCCAGCAUCUUAGCAUCUUCUUCUGUGUUUCCCUCUUUAUAUGGGAUCUUAUGAUUAUAUCAGGCCUACUUGGACAAUCCAAAAUAAUCUUCCCAUUGCAGGAUCCUGAAUUUAUUAUCACUUCUGCAAAGUCCCUUUUGCCCUGUAAGAGAACAAAAUUCAUGGGUUCUGAAAAUUAGGGCAUAGGCAUUUGAGGGGCCAUUUUUCAACAGAGGCAGAGAACACUUUUCAAGGAGUCAUUAAGUAGUGGUGGUUAUAGAUGGGGUAUUGAGGAGGAAACUGGCUAUUUCAGUCCUGAGUAUAAUUGUAUUGGUACAGUUAGGAGAAAAGGUUCAGGGACAUUAGAUCCAUUUUGAGCUAAAAAAAAAGAUGUAGGGAUUUUGCUUUUUAUGGAGGAGGUGAAUUUUGCUUUUUAAAAUGCAUGUAUAAUUGGUGUGUGUGUGUGUGUGUGUGUGUGUGUGUGUGUGUGCAUGUCGUAGGGGCAGCAAGGGAAGUAGAGGUGGUUGAAAUAAUAUGAUAAACUAGUAGUUUUAUUACCACUGUAAAGUGUAUUGUUCCUUGAAUAUUUUUCAGUUGACUAUGGUUGAUAUAGCAGAAAGGAGUGGAUCUUUCUACACUGUUAUUUUAUCUAGUGAUCUUACUGAAUUUAUAAGUUCUGAUUGGUCACCCAUUGAUUCUAUUGGGUUUUCUAGGCAGAUAACCUAUUGCAUAUUACGUUGGAGAAAAUGUCAAUAAUAGACCCAGGAGCAUAACAGCAUGAAGUUGGAAUCUGAAGGCUGCAGCUCAGUGGCAGACCAGGACACCUAUGAACAUUUUCAAGCAAGUAGCCACUUCCCUUCUCCUUUAAUAGCCUGUACUCUGAUCUCUGGGUUCUUCCCCCUGAGUUUCUGCCCCGCUGCCAUUAAAUUGCACGUAAUAAUUGCAUGGCCAUCUUAGAUACUACUUUAAAAAUAACUUACUUUGUGAAAGCUCUUACUCAUUUUUAGGGAAAGCAGAGGCCCAGAUUGUUAACAGAUCUGUGAAAUAUCCAUUUUAUCUUUCAUGAUAUUCUCUCUUUUUCAGGUUCUCAGUUUCCUAAUACUACCACUUGGCCACACUGCUUUGGCGAUCACCCCAGGUUGCCUAUAAUAUGUCUCUUCCAACUUCUAACCCAUGUCCAGAUUUUUCUGACCUUGGUUAGUUAGCCAUAUUGAAACAAAUUCACAUCAAUGUAUUAAUGGCAGGAAAUGGUUUAAUAACCAUAAUUAACAUCUUCCAGUCACAUCCGUGUUUUACAUGGUGAUUUUAAACUCAAGGAGCCUUAAGUAAAGAAGUAUACUUUAACAAUGGAAUGUCAUGAAAUAGUAUAGGACAGGAGAGAUUUUUAGUCAGAACAGCUUCCC
ensembl:lncRNA